rnacentral:snRNA from 1 species
UAAAAGUAAAACAUUNACAGAGAUUAGCAUGGCCCCGGCGUAAGGAUGACAUGCAAAUUACUGAAGCAUUCCAUAUUUUU